rnacentral:rRNA from 1 species
CCCAGACUCCUACGGGAGGCAGCAGUGGGGGACAUUGCACAAUGGGGGGAACCCUGAUGCAGCGACGCCGCGUGGGUGAAGGAGCGUUUCGGCGCGUAAAGCCCUAUCGGCAGGGAAGAAGGAGGACGGUACCUGACUAAGAAGCCCCGGCUAACUACGUGCCAGCAGCCGCGGUAAUACGUAGGGGGCAAGCGUUAUCCGGAUUUACUGGGUGUAAAGGGGGCGCAGACGGCAGCGCAAGCCAGGAGUGAAAGCCCGGGGCCCAACCCCGGGACUGCUCUUGGAACUGCGCGGCUGGAGUGCAGGAGGGGCAGGCGGAAUUCCUGGUGUAGCGGUGAAAUGCGUAGAUAUCAGGAGGAACACCGGUGGCGAAGGCGGCCUGCUGGACUGCGACUGACGUUGAGGCCCGAAAGCGUGGGGAGCAAACAGGAUUAGAUACCCCUGUA